AAUUGUGCCUACAUCUGUUCAUCUACUUUUGUAUAAACAUAUAAACACACGAAAAGAAUAUAUUCACUUUAUUCAGAAUAAAACUAUACUCAAAGUUAUGGGGCCCUAAAAAAAAAUUUUAAAGGAUACAAAAAAAUGGAAAGAUAUUCCAUGUUUAUGGAUUAGACGAAUCAAUAUUGUUAAAUGUCCAUACUACCCAAAGCAAUCUACAGAUGCAAUGCAAUCCCUAUCAAAAUAUCAAUGACAUUUUUCACAGAAAUAGAAAAAACAAUCCUAAAGUUUAUAUGGGAACACACACACACACACACACACACACACACACACACACACACAGACACACACAAGCCCAGAAUAGCCAAAGCUAUCCUGAGCAAAAAGAACAAAACUGGAGGAAUCACAUUGCCUUACUUCAAAUUAUACUACAGAGCUAUAGUAGCCAAAACAGCAUGGUAGAGUUACAAAAACAGACACAUAGACAAGUGGAACAGAAUAGAGAACCCAGAAAUAAAUCCACACAUCUACAGUGAACUCAUUUUUGACAAAGAUGUUAAGAACAUACAUCAGGGAAAGGACAGUCUCUUCAAUAAAUGGUGCUGGGAAAACUGGAUAUCCAUAUGCAGAAGAAUGAAACUACACUCCUAUCUCUUGCCACAUACAAAAAUCAAAUCAAAUGCAUUAAAGACUUAAGUCUAAAGAUUUAAAUCUAUGUUCUCAAACUAUGAAACUACUACAAGAAAACAUAGGGGGAAAUCUCCAGGAUAUUGGUCUGGGCAAAAAUUUCUUGAGUAAUACCCCACAAGCACAGGCAAUUGAAGCAAAAAUCAACAAAAGAGAUCACAUCAAGUUAAAAAAAAAAACAAACUUCUGUAUAGCAAAGGAUGCAAUCAACAAAGUGAAGAGACAACCCACAUAAUGGGUGAAAAUAUUUGCAAACUACCCAUUUGACAAGGGAUUAAUAACAAGAAUACAUAAGGAGCUCAGACAACUCUAUAGGAAAAUAACCUAAUAAUCUGAUUAAAACAGACAAAAUAUCUGAAUAGACAUUUCUCAAAAGAAGAUAUCCAAAUGUCAAAUAGGUAAAUGAAAAGGUGCUCAACAUCACUGAUCAGAGAAAUGCAAAUCAAAACUACAAUGAGAAAUCAUCUUACCACAGGUUAAAAAUGGCUUAUAUCCAAAAGACAGGCAAUAACAAAUGCUGGUGAGGAUGUGGAGAAAAGGGAACCCUUGUACACUGUUGGUGGGAUUGUAAAUUAAUACAACCACUAUGGAGGUUCAUCAAAACACUAAAAGUAGAGCUACCAUAUGAUUGAGCAAUCCCAUUGCUAGGUAUAUACUCGAAAGAAAGGAAAUCAGAAUAUCGAAGAUGUAUCUGUACUCUCAUGUUUCUUGCAGCACUAUUCACAAUAGCCAAGAUUUGGAAGCAAACUAAAUGUUCAUCAACAGCUGAAUCAAUAAAGAAAAUAUAGUACAAUUACAUAAUGGAGUGCUAUUCAGCCAUAAAAAAAUAAGAUUCCGUCAUUUGCAACAACAUGGAUGGAACUGGAGGUCAUUAUGUUAAGUGAAAUCAGUCAGGCACAGAAAGACAGACUAAAUGCUCUCACUUAUUUGUGGGAGCCAACAAUUAAAACAAUUGAACUCAUAGACGUAGAGAGUAGAAGGAUGCUUACCAGAGGCUGGGAAGCAUAAUGUGGUGGGGGGAGUGGGUAGGGCGUGGGGAAUGGAGAUGGUCAAUGGGUACAAAAAAAUUAGAAAGUGUUGGGAGCAGGCCCCCCAAAAUCUGGCCAUAAACUGUCCCUAAAAUUGACCAUAAACAAAAUCUCUGCAGCACUGUAACAUGUUCAUAAUGGCCCUAACGCCCAAGCUGGAAGGUUGUGGGUUUAUGGGAAUGAGGGCAAGGAACACCUGGCCCGCCCAGGACGGAAAACUGCUUAAAGGCGUUCUUAAGCCACAAACAAUAGCAUGAGUGAUCUGUGCCUUAAGGACAUGCUCCUGCUGCAGUUAACUAGUCCAACCUAUUCCUUUAAUUCAGCCCAUCCCUUUUCCCAUAAGGGAUACUUUUAGUUAAUUUAAUAUCUAUAGAGACAAUGCUAAUGACUGGUUUGCCAUUAAUAAAUACGUGGGUAAAUCUCUGUUCGGGGUUCUCAGCUCUGAAGGCUGUGAGACCCCUGAUUUCCUACUUCACACCUCUGUAGUUCUGUGUGUGUGUCUUUAAUUCCUCUAGCGCUGCUGGGUUAGGGUCUCCCCGACUGAGCUGGUCUCGGCAAGUGGUGUCCAUUCGUGGGGGCUCAAAUCCAGGUCGAAGGGUCGCCAGAGCAACAGUUGGAAUGGAAAACCAGCUGGAGGACACAGGAGUACUCUUAAAGCAAUCCCCGUGGUGAGUAAGAAGGGGAGCUUGGAAGGGUAACAAUGGGACAAGUGUGGGGUCUGGUUCAUUCCAUCUUGGAACUUUUUCACACUGAUCAUGAGGAGGAAGGAGAGUAUAGUGAAGUAACAGAAGAGGUUACAGAGCAUGUUCAUUUACCAGCUAAAGCAGCAAAGGAAGGAGAGGUUCAUCCCUACCCUUCUGCACCCCCUCAUUAUUAUUUUGAAGAAAAAGACCCUCCAGAUCUUUCUUUUCCGGAGGACACGGGGCGAAAAGUAGUUGCCCCUGUGACUAUUUGAGCAGCGCCUCAAGCGACUGCUUUUAGUUCUAUUCAGGUAGGAAUUCAGCAAGCUAGAUGAGAGGGUGAUUUAGAGGCUUGGCAGUUCCCUGUUAGAAUACACCCCUCCCACCCCCAAUCAAAA
rnacentral:lncRNA from 1 species